GGCACAGCUUACCAACAGUAAUAAUCGUGGCUUCAUCAUCUCAGAAGAUAACGUUUCGACUGUAAAUAAACUCUGGCACCAACACCACUAUACGCACAAAAUCCCAAAAGAAUUUUCACAAACGUAGUGUUCCAUAUCCGUGGAGUAAAACCUCAACAUUACUCUGAUGGAUUAUGUAUUACAGUUCAGUACAGCCCACCAGCAACUGUCGAGGAUCCCGGUACGACUACGGAGUUCCGUUAUACGAACGGUCCAACACCAGCUCAGAAUUUUAAUACCGGUCUUCUUUAUCAUGUUUACUGGUAUCGUAGAAUGACGUGGUUGUGUUGAACUACAAACGUUUCGAGUUCAACCCAGACCCACGAAUUUUUGAAAUACUGGGUAAGGCGACGAAUAUUACGGCCAGUAAUCAUAGUCGGAGGAUAAAUGGAUAUGACAAUAUUUACUAAUUUCUUGCUACUUGUAACGCCAUGCGAAACGAUACUUCAACAAACUUUUUAUUGAUCUGGUUAUUCACACCUAAGAUGCCACGCGCCGAUUUGUAGAUUCCAUCGUGUAUUUUGACAUACCUACAUAUUUUCAUUUAAAGUAACCGCCCAAAAAUUUAUGACAUGUUUAAGAAUCAUCGUAGAACGUAGAUAUGCAGUUAACUUUUUGCGUGUACCGUACGACGUACAAUGAUAAAUGUCUUUAGGUAUGUAUUUAGUUUCAUUAAGCAGUGCAAAGG